rnacentral:rRNA from 1 species
AGGGAAGCCAGGUGGCGACACCGCGCGGAACCCGAAAGCCGUUCUCAGUUCGGAUCGGAGUCUGCAACCCGACUCCGUGAAGCUGGAUUCGCUAGUAAUCGCGCAUCAGCCAUGGCGCGGUGAAUACGUUCCCGGGCCUUGUACACACCGCCCGUCAAGCCAUGGGAGCCGGGGGUGCUUGAAGUGCGUCGCCGCAAGGCGCGCCCUAGAGCAAAACCGGUGACUGGGGCUAAGUCGUAACAAGGUAUC